CCUACGGGGGGCAGCAGUGGGGAAUAUUGCACAAUGGGCGCAAGCCUGAUGCAGCCAUGCCGCGUGCAUGAAGAAGGCCUUCGGGUUGUAAAGUACUUUUAGCGGGGAGGAAGGCGAUAAGGUUAAUAACCUUGUCGAUUGACGUUACCCGCAGAAGAAGCACCGGCUAACUCCGUGCCAGCAGCCGCGGUAAUACGGAGGGUGCAAGCGUUAAUCGGAAUUACUGGGCGUAAAGCGCACGCAGGCGGUCUGUCAAGUCGGAUGUGAAAUCCCCGGGCUCAACCUGGGAACUGCAUUCGAAACUGGCAGGCUAGAGUCUUGUAGAGGGGGGUAGAAUUCCAGGUGUAGCGGUGAAAUGCGUAGAGAUCUGGAGGAAUACCGGUGGCGAAGGCGGCCCCCUGGACAAAGACUGACGCUCAGGUGCGAAAGCGUGGGGGGCAAACAGGAUUAGAUACCCCAGUAGUC
rnacentral:rRNA from 1 species